GAUGAACGCUAGCUACAGGCUUAACACAUGCAAGUCGAGGGGCAGCCAUUCUAGUAUGCUGCUAAAGCUCGAGAUGCCCACCGCGCACAGGUGAGAGUACACAGUGUAUCCACCUUCCGUAUAAUUCUGGGAUACCCUCUGGAAAGAAGAUUUAUAUCACGGGUGCUCUAUGAGUCCACAAUGUUCAUGUUAUUAAAGUAUUUCGGUAAUCGAUGGGGAUGCGUUCCAUUAGACAGUAGGUGAGGUAACGGCUCACCUAGUCUUCGAUGGAUAGGGGUUCUGAGAGGAAGGUCCCCCACAUUGGAACUGAGACACGGUCCAAACUCCUACGGGAGGCAGCAGUGAGGAAUAUUGGUCAAUGGGCGCUAGCCUGAACCAGCCAAGUAGCGUGAAGGAUGAAGGCUCUAUGGGUUGUAAACUUCUUUUAUAUAAGAAUAAAGUUCAGCAUGUAUGGAAUUUUGUAUGUACCAUAUGAAUAAGGAUCGGCUAACUCCGUGCCAGCAGCCGCGGUAAUACGGAGGAUCCGAGCGUUAUCCGGAUUUAUUGGGUUUAAAGGGAGCGUAGGUGGACAGGUAAGUCAGUUGUGAAAGUUUGCGGCUCAACCGUAAAAUUGCAGUUGAUACUGUCAGUCUUGAGUACAGUAGAGGUGGGCGGAAUUCGUGGUGUAGCGGUGAAAUGCUUAGAUAUCACGAAGAACUCCGAUUGCGAAGGCAGCUCACUGGACUGCAACUGACACUGAUGCUCAAAAGUGUGGGUAUCAAACAGG
rnacentral:rRNA from 1 species